UCAUGUCCAGUUGUGACAUAAACAAUUGUGGUGAAGAUAUUCUGUAUUUAUCAGGUCAACAUGCACUUUACCUACGUUUCUUUUCUUCAGGUUGCUGCUGUGGAGCUGAAAACGUGGAGGAAACGACUGAACCAAAGGUUUCUGUAAGAUUAUCACAGGCAAGGAAUCCCAAGUUAGCCUUGUCUUCCCAGAAGAGCCACCCCUGUGAGGGUUGUGGGCUGGUCUUGGGAAACAUUUUCCACAUGAUGGAGGGUCAGGAAACACAACACAGACAGAUAUUGUUGAGAUGUGGGGCAUGUGCAAAACAAUUUUAUUUCCGAGCAAAAUUUCACCAGCAGCAUAUGAGAGAGAAGUCUUUCACUAGAGGUGUGGACAGGAUCUCACUUGCAAACAGCUGCAAUUUCAAUGUGUCCCAGAGUCGUUUCACAUGCGGGGAGGUUGGGCACGGUGUCCUUACGGGGUCAGGACAUUUACACCUAAAGGCUAUUCAGGCCAGGAACAGUCCAACUGCAAUUUCGACCUGUGCCAUGACAUUUCAAAGGAUAGAAAAUUAUUACAGUAGAAAAGAAUGUCAGAGAGACAUUAGUUGCACCCACACCUUUAUUCAGGAAAAAGGUGUCCAUCUUGGAAGUGGGUGUUUUAUGUCCUCUGAAUGUGGAAAAUAUUUUACCAAGUUAUCUAGCUUUCAUUAUCAACAAAGAGGUCACACGAGAGAAAAGCCUUAUGAAUGCAGUGAGUGUGGGAAAGCUUACACCAGUAGCACUGGACUUCGUCGUCAUCAGAGAUUUCAUAUGGGAGAAAAACCUUAUAAAUGCAGUGAAUGUGGGGAAUCUUUUACACAGAGCACUAAACUUCGUUAUCAUCAGACAGUUCAUACAGGAGAAAAGUCUUAUAAAUGCAGUCAAUGUGAAAAAUCCUUUAAAAGUAGCAGUGGUCUUCAAUAUCAUCAGAGAGUUCACACUGGAGAGAGGCCUUAUAAAUGCAGUGAAUGUGGAAAAUCUUUUGCACGGAGCAGUGCCCUUCGUUGUCAUCGGAUAGUUCACACGGGAGAAAAGCCUUAUCAAUGCAAUGAAUGUGGGAAAUCUUUUACCUCUAAGACCGUCCUUCAUCGUCAUCAGAGAAUUCAUACUGGAGAAAAGCCUUAUACAUGCAGUGAAUGUGGAAAAUCUUUUGCACUGAGCACUGCCCUUCGUUAUCAUCAGAGAGUUCACACUGGAGAAAAGCCUUAUCAAUGCAGUGAAUGUGGAAAAUCUUUUACCACUAGCGUUGCCCUUCAUUGUCAUAAGAGAAUUCACACUGGGGAAAAGCCUUAUCAAUGCAGUGAAUGUGGGAAAUCUUUUACCCAGAGCACUCACCUUCGUUUUCAUCAGAGUCUUCAUACAGGAGAAAAGCCUUUUAAAUGCAGUGAAUGUGGGAAAUCUUUUACCCAGAGCACUCACCUUCGUUUUCAUCAGAGAGUUCAUACAGGAGAAAAGCCUUAUAAAUGCAGUGAAUGUGGGAAAUCUUUUACAAGGAGCAGAAGUCUUCAAUAUCAUCAGAGAGUUCACACUGGAGAAAAUCAUGAGUGCAGUUAAUAUGAGGUAUCUCUCAACCAAAUUUCUAAAUUUGCUCUGCACAUAUGAGUCCAAAUGUGAGAAAUUUCUUAGAUGUGUAGGAAAUGUAGUUUCUUAGUUAGAUCCUAACAUUAGUACAAAAAAAUUUAUGUAUCCUCAUUUUUCUGAAUUGUAUCUCAUACUUUUAAUCACCUACAUUAUGUAAAGUUCCCAUAAGUGUUCUUGUUGUGUUUGUUUUUAUGUUGGAACACUGUGUAAUUAUGUUGCACGUUCUAACAUACAGAGAUGUCCUGCCAGAUCAAUGUCACUGCAUCUUUCUGUUGUAGAAGGUAUUUCAUCUGAACCACCUAUAAGGUCCCUACAUACGGCGUCAAUCACCAUUGUCAUGUGCCCGGGGAAGCUAACUCUGUUGUCUUUUUUGUUGAAGAAAAUGAGGAAUACCUGAGUCCAUAGUUCUUUCUUGUUUUCCUGUCAUGCGUUGCCACAUAGAACUGAUUAUUGUUGGCCUCAGUAAACAUAAUGUUGCAGAGGGAAUGCUUUCCCUGAAUGCCAGUGAUGAAUUUAUUGAGUGCCUGAGUCAUCAGUGGAAGAACUGCCAUUCUCCUGUCUCUUUGGUUCUAACUCCCCAGUAUGGACAAAAAUGAUGGCACACAGUAAACUUAGCAAGCUCAGGGGGCCUGGCAUGGCAUGGGCAAUCUUGCAAACUCAGAGGCUAAGACGAACCAUAUAGGAUGCUUUGAAGUUAAAACUUUCCAAGUAAAAGCUAGUCACCUGGGUAUGUAUGUACUAGCCUGUUUUUUUGUUUGUUUGUUUUUGCAAAGAACAAAUUUUACCUUACUGAACCUGUCGUCUUUUUGCAUCUCGGAUAACAUACCUUUGGAUUUUUAUGGACAUUUCUGUUUCACAGACUCCUAAGAGAACAAUCUCCUAAUGCAGAAGAUCACAGAGCCCCAAUUAGUGUUGCUCUCGAGUUAAAUACUAACUGUUAUACUAAUCGAUAAUCAUGUAAAAAUAAGUGUGUGUCUAUUUUUUUUUAUUGUUUACUCAAUACCAGGGAUUUCUCUCCUUAGCUCUCCCCUCUAAUUUAUCACCAGUGGAUGUCAUGUAAUCCACUUAUGUCCUCUCCUUUGAUUCUAAUGUAUAAAAAAGGUGCGAAACUGCCAUUCUCCUGAGCGUUACUCAACCUGUUGUUAUUUUGCUUUCUGGCAAAUGUCAUGACUAGGGUCAAAUAAACUAAGAAAAAUUCUCAA